rfam:Triticum aestivum genome assembly, contig: Triticum_aestivum_CS42_TGACv1_scaffold_120592_2AS
CAUGUAGUCCCUCUGUCUGGAAAUACUUGUCGGAGAGAUGGAUGUAUCUAGAUGUAUGUUUGUUCUAGAUGCAUGCAUUUUCAUCCAUUUCUAAGACAAGUAUUUCCGGAUGGAGGGAGUACUAC